rnacentral:rRNA from 1 species
CAGUAGCCACGGGAAUACGAAGGGUGCAAGCGUUACUCGGAAUUACUGGGCGUAAAGCGUGCGUAGGUGGUGGUUUAAGUCCGUUGUGAAAGCCCUGGGCUCAACCUGGGAAUUGCAGUGGAUACUGGGUCACUAGAGUGUGGUAGAGGAUAGUGGAAUUUCCGGUGUAGCAGUGAAAUGCGUAGAGAUCGGAAGGAACAUCUGUGGCGAAGGCGACUAUCUGGGCCAACACUGACACUGAGGCACGAAAGCGUGGGGAGCAAACAGGAUUAGAUACCCGGGUAGUCCCUGUCUCUUAUAA